ACUGCACGCUUUCUCCACUAAUGUUAAGUUUUUUUUGAUAAUAAACAAGUGUGCAACAACUAAAGUAACCGUCUAGAAAGUGUUUUCUACCAAAAAAAGUUUAAAUAGAUGAAAGGCAUUUUGUACAUCAAAACGGCUUACAAUUAACCAAACUUAAAAACUUGAUUACAGGCGUCGGGAGCGAGCUCUAGUAAAUUUAUAGUGCUAUGGCACCAGUUAAGUCCUCGAAAAUUAUAGGAACUGGAGGAACUUAAAAUAACGUUAAAGCUAGAAGAUCAGUAGAUGCACCGUUAGCAAUGAAGUUAACUUUAUUAUAGUCGAGAUAUCUGUAGACGUGCAUAUAUAACAAGAUAAAAAAAUCUUAAUCUGAAACUCUCUGCGCACUACUACAAUUAUUUUACUUCACUUGUUUAAGGCAAUUUUACAAACUUUACAUUUCUUCCAAGGAGACAAGUCCCUGAAACAAGUCGCCCUCGAUGGCAGCGUGAGGGAAGUAAAGUUUACGAGCUAAAGUCUUGGACUGAGCUUAUUGUUACAGUAAACUAACACGUAUCGAGAAGAAUCCAAGGAAGAAAUCCGAUUAGAGGGGAGAGCCCUAAAAGUACACGCAGAAACUCCUAAAGAAAGAGUAAUCCGGAGCAAGAAGACAUGAAAAAAACUCGGAGCAAUCGAGUUUAUCUUAUUUUCUUCAAUUCUUUUAAGCAAACAAUAUUUUAAAUGGAAAAAAUUGGUUGAAACUACCCGUCCUUGUAUAGGAGUACCUGCCUUAACCCCAAGGAAAAAGAGAUGUGAAGUCCAGAAGGGUUAAAUGAUUUUUGUCAGCAACUUUUUUAUCUUAAUUAUUACUACAUAAACGACUGCACCGGGGGGGGGAGAUUGAAAGGCCACCAACUAAGGGGCCCAUUUUUACUACCGGUGCCCGUUAUAAACAUUGUACUUUAUGCAUAAAUAUGUCCACGUGGAGGCAGAGAGCGCAUUAGUACCGGCUUUACCUUACGUAAAUAUUGUUGCAUAACAGCAUACACGUGCCAGGGAUAGGCCUACUGAUUAUAAAAGUCUCUUUGCGCUUUGCUUCUUUGAUGUGGUAAAGUCAGUAUUCUCUAAAAGCGAUAACUCUAACUUCACAUAAGGGAAAAGCUGUUAAAAGAUAAAUAAAAACGUUAAUAACUUACAAGAUAAGUAGUUUUGUGAGUUUUUCGAAAGGAGAAUUAACUAAAGCAGUCAGUUUGUGUUCACUCAAAU